GCGCAGCGUGCGACGCGGCGAGCUGCAGUACGCGAUACACGGCCGUCGUGAACGCUGCUCGCACUGUUAGUGCUUGAGAAAGGAGACCUAGGCUCUCCGAAACAUGUCGCGCGAGUGACUAAAAACAAUGAGUCUAAACCGUUAAAAUUAUUCAAUGUUAGUAUAUCUCACAACAGCUUAAAUUCGAUUGUCGUGACUUAUUUUUCAAAAGUUAUUUUCAAUAAAAAGACACGUCAAGAUUGUUUACCUUUCUUCUAAUCCUAAAAAAAUAGAUAGGUAUAGCAAUACGCUAUAUACAUUGUAAACGAUAUUUUAGUACUUGGGAUUGGGAUGUAGAAACAGAAACUAUUUUAAUAUUAAAUACAUCACGCUUAUCAAGAUUAGUUAUAAUCUUAUCCUAAUGAGAAUGUCGUACUACGUCUACUUCUUUGUAAAAUGAAAUAUAUUAUUGCAACAUUAUUUAAAUGUUCCUAAAAACAUGAGAUGAAAUAAUUACAAUUAUAGGUACCUACAGAAGUGCAUAAUUGUUUUCCGUCGUAUUUUCUCGGAAACGUUCGCAUUAGUCAUGCUACUUCAGUCAACGUCAGUACUUUUUGUAUCGAGACUGACUGAAAUAGCAAGAAGUUUUCGUACGUUUUCGUGAAAAUACGAUGAAAAAUAAUUAAAUGCACUACAUCUGUACGUCAUGUUGAGAUUUAUAAGGGCCAGUUGCACCAACCACAGUUAGCAGACUGAUCAACGUCACGCAGCAGAGAUCUAUGAAACUUCCCAUACAAUAUUUAGCGAAUGCUUUAACGGUGACAGACGGUUUGGUCCACCCGACCCUAAGUAUUUAUAACAGAGAGCUCCUGAAUAUAACCAGGGGUACGAUACCACAAGUAUAUUCAAAAUUCGAAGACAAUAAUUAGCGCACCGCGGCCAAAACAAAUGAAGUACUAUUAUUAUCAGGGACGGUAAUUUUACGUACCUAGAUUCAGACUUGUAUUACUCUGCACCCACUCGGCAGGCGAUAGAAAGUGGUAGUGCCACCAAAAACGUCAGAUUGCUAUGAAAAUAUGACGUUUCAGUGGCACUACUACAAUUUGUCGCUGUAAAGUUAUUAAUAGCCAUCUGGGUGACACAUCUGAUUGGUUGACGUGCCGUCGCCGUGGUACACACGGUAGUAGCCUUGCUCGCCCCACGACGUGCCCCAAGAGCUCACUAUCCAGUACCGCAGAGUUAAUGUAUAAAAGGUUAGAUGACGGCGCUGCUCGCCAUCUGGUUGACGCCACACGUGCCGUCGCCGCGGUACACACGGUAGUAGCCUUGCUCGCCCCACAACUUGCCCCAAGAGCUCACUAUCCAGUACCGCAGAGUUA